GUAAGAGUGAAGGCAUUGGAAAAGCUGUUAGUUCAGGUCUUAGUGAAUAAUAAUGACAGCUGUUUAUUAUAUCUCACUACAUUCAGUCAAGGUUCUAUUAUAUCAAAAAGGUCUCGUAGAAAACAAAAAUAUGAAAGGAGCGGGAGAAGGCAGCAAAGCAAACACUAGACCAAUUUAAAAUUGCUAUCUUUUUGUUAAUGGUCACAAGCAUAAAUGAGUCACUGCAGAGACGGCAGGGGAUUUUUAUAUUGCAAGUACAGUCAUGCUAGGUGUGAAGAUAUGCACUACAAAUGGAGAAAAGUGCUUUAAACACAGAUCUCUGCUUGAAGCUGUCCUCUUCUAGGAAAGUGACUGGGAAAGCUAAUAUGAUUAUAGUGGUAUCAGCGAAGAUGGAUUAAGAGAACUGUUUGUUCCAGCAUCUUCUCAGGAGGGAUUGAAGUACAGUUGACUACCAUGCAGAUUUCUGGGAGCUUCAGCUGGAAAAAGUGUUUUGAAUUAAGUAUUUUCAGAAGAAAUCUGGAAGAACCAAGAAGUAUCACAAUAAUGAAACUAAGGUUUAAUAAGCAAUUGGUAAGACAAGAUUCCAGUUCUCAGAAGGAAAGAUGCAUAAUGCAGGAAAAAACAAGGCAAAUGAAUUGGUUCUGGAAAAGUCAGUCAAUGUAUAUGAUGGCAAACAGAGACAAACAGGAGAACAUACGAAAUCACAGUGUUCAGAUGGAUAGAGAGGCAACAGAAAUGGGAAGCAGUGUUCUGAUUGCUGCUGCUAUCAGGUGAUAAACCAGGUGAGUGUGUUCACUGCUUAGAUGUUGCUGAUGGUGCUGUUUAGCGCCCAUGGUCUGCAAUGACAGAAAAUUCUUCUCAGAAAAUAGGCAAAUUUGGGAAUGAAAGAAUGUUACAAUAAAACUAAACCCUGUAUAGUUGGUUUUCUGAAUGUAUGUACGUGAAAUUUGUGCAGUAUGCUUUUAAACUCUGUCAGAAAAUAUAUGUUGUCAUGUCCUCUGGAAGGGUUGGUUUAAUCACAGUUUAGGAUGCUGAUACUUCAUUAAGUUAAGGUCAAGCCAUUUGAUUGUCAGAAGUGAUGCACUGCCUGGAUGAGCUGUGAUGCUGUUAUGCUGAUGUCACUAAAAAACACAUAAAAAUUACACAGAAGUGCAAUGUGAUUAUAUAAAACCCAAAAUGGUUAUAAUCUGUUGCUUAACUGCCUUUGCCAGCUGAAAUAUGAAUGAAUGUACACUUUAUAUAUAUUUUACAACACUAAAUCAAAUCUUAAAGUAUUAUAUAUAAAAGGUGAUUUUUAUCUUCAUAAAAUAUGUUAUGGUUAAUUGCAUAAAUGUUAGAAUAAACAUUUUAUUCUGCAUUUUAAUUUUGUUCAGUAGAAACGCUGGUUUCCAAUUCUAUCAGGCACAAAAAGCUGCAUGCAGUCAUAGCACGUGAAAAAUUAACUUUGUGCAGUGUGGUGAACAAAAGAUCUUAGAGAAAGCUGACCUCAAAGCACCCUUAGGCAUGGUUGUGAAGAAUAGUUAACUGAGCAUUUCUAGUAAAAAUCACAAGCACCAGAUUUAGGACAAAAACUGGCAUGUGAUAAACACAUAAUUCUCUACGCACAAAUUGGACAAUAACUUUUUUUUUUUUUUUUUUUGGUGGUCCUUUGUACAAAUCAGCUGAACUUCUAGAUUUAAACUUUCUUGUUUUGAAAUUAAACAUGAAUUCAACACAGCAACGUACAGAAAAACCUCAGAAAAGAAAUUAACUACAAGCAGAUGUCGAGCAAGAAGCCACACAUGGAGAAAUCCACUUAAAACAACCACCUUACUGUAGCUACUUGAGUCAGCUCAGUUUAUGGCAAACAGAAAGGAGCUUUUCUUAGUUGCUAUAAACUGGUGCACACACUUUAGCACGUGAAACCAACACCCCCUUAAAAUACACAGUGAUUGGUUGCAGGAUUUAGAGUUUUAUAAUUUUGUAUUCCUGGUGACAAACUCGGGAAGAUACAAAAGCAAAAGCCUGGACAAUCUGCUGGCUUCACACAACAAUGGCUGUGUUUUUCUUUCUGUUUAAUCUGAAUCUGAGUGAUUAUACCUCUGUUGUGUACCUUACGAAUCAAAGUCUCUGAUACUGCUAGGGAAAAAAUACUGAAAUGGGAGAAAUGCUGCCAACUUCAAAGCCAUGCUUCUGCCUGAAUUUUUUAUCUACUAUUACUGCACACAAAUAAAUUAUCUGAAAGAGAUUUUAGUAGGAAAAUAUUUUUUUCAGUUCCUUUCCGCUCUUCUUUUACAAAGUACAGAGGUUUCUGAAAACAAGCUGAAUCUAAUCUGUUUUCUGCCUAAUUUUUGGUGGGAUAUUCUUUGAACAAUCAAUCAGCUAUUGUCUUAUACAGGAGUUAAAGACCUAAAGUAAAUCUGAAAUCCCAAAUGGAUGAGCAGAUGGUGGAAUAGUCUAGCAGAAUUUGAGGUCAGAGGGAAGAGUUGCAAUUGUUUGUCUGAUGGCCACUGUACACCCACCUGGGGAGUGUCCUGUGAAGCAUGUUUUCUUCCCUCAGACCCAAAGCUCUUAAUCUGCAGACCGGGCCAAGAUACCAGCACUGCUUUAGGCUUCUGCCAGAAACUACAAGUAACUGUGUUGGAUGCAUCUUGAUGAUAUCUGUUAUAUCUUAAAUAAAAAUGCUAGUUUUGCUGUUUCACAUACCUUUGCAUUUAGAAAUAUAAAAAUUAAUUCCUGACCUGAACAUUGGUGAUUAGUUGGUUCUAUGACAGUAUGGAUCCUGACAUCUAAGGGUGAAGUUAUUCCAGGCUCUAUUGCAUACCCUUUCUCCAGCUCCUUCUCUGCAGUCCAUAAAGCCAACUACUGAUCAUUCAUGAGACAGUAAAAUCACAAUAUAUCAGGAUCUUAUAGGGUCACACAAGAUAUGGGCAUUUUCAUGACAGAGAACUUCAGGAAAUACGACAGCAUGAAAGGCAAUACAGAAGUUUUUACCUUCUCUUCAGUUCCCAAAAUAGAGUGAUUCAGAGUUUCUCACAAUCAGGUAUUUCCAAACCAGAAAAGAUUGCCACGAUAAUCCAGCCAAAAUAUUUGUAUUCACAGGCUUGAAGGAUUUUUUGCAGAAAUGGAAUGGAAUCCAUAAAAACAGAUGAAGUAAACACUUAAAGACAUGAUGAG
ensembl:lncRNA